rnacentral:rRNA from 1 species
UACAGAGGUCUCGAGCGUUGUUCGGAUUCAUUGGGCGUAAAGGGUGCGUAGGUGGCACUGUAAGUCGGGUGUGAAAUCCUGAGGCUUAACCUCGGAACUGCAUUCGAUACUGCGGUGCUUGAGGACUGGAGAGGAGACUGGAAUUCAUGGUGUAGCAGUGAAAUGCGUAGAGAUCAUGAGGAAGACCAGUGGCGAAGGCGGCUUCCUGGGGCCGAUCCUGACACUGAGAAGCGAAAGCUAGGGGAGCGAACGGG